ACGGAAACCCCUGAGAAGAGAGGUGCUGCUGGAGAUGGAGUAUGUGGGGGAAGAGAAGAUUAACCAAGGUGUAAAUGAUCGAUCUGGAAGAGUGAAUGUGUAAAUGACACCGCGUGUGUGGUGAUGGGUCCCUGACACCAAGGCCAUUGCUGCCAUCUGCUGAGGGAGCGAGAACGGCACAGAACCAAGUGUCGAAAAAUCCUUCUCUGUUGGCCGUUCAGAGGGAAAAUCCUGCAGAAGCGAUGCCAGCAAGCCCUGCUCCACCUGACCCGGUGAAAAACUGACAUCCACCACGUUAACUUCAACCCCCCUGGAAGAAAACUGAAAGAAAAGCAACGGAGCCCAACUGUUUGUCACAGUUAUGGUCAGAUUUAGCGUAUUCUGCUGCAAACACUUCCCAGGGGGACCUCAGAGGUCUUUUCCAACCUAAUUGAUUUUGUGA